rnacentral:misc_RNA from 1 species
GAUGAAGAACGUAGCGAAAUGCGAUAAGUAAUGUGAAUUGCAGAAUUCAGUGAAUCAUCGAAUCUUUGAACGCACAUUGCGCCCUCUGGUAUUCCGGGGGGCAUGCCUGUUCGAGCGUCAUUAUAACCACUCAAGCUCUCGCUUGGUAUUGGAGUUCGCGAUCUCGCGGCUCCUAAAAUCAGUGGCGGUGCCUGUCGGCUCUACGCGUAGUAAUACUCCUCGCGAUUGAGUCCGGUAGGUUUACUUGCCAGCAACCCCCAAUUUUUACAGGUUGACCUCGGAUCGGGUAGGGAUACCCGCUGAACUUAAGCAUAUCAAUAAGCGGAGGA